AGAGUCCUGACCUCAACCCGAUAGAACACCUUUGGGAUGAAUUAGAGCGGAGACUGAGAGCCAGGCCUUCUCGUCCAACAUCAGUGUGUGACCUCACAAAUGCGCUUCUGGAAGAAUGGUCAAAAAUUACCAUAAACACACUCCUAAACCUUGUGGACAGCCUUCCCAGAAGAGUUGAAGCUGUUAUAGCUGCAAAGGGUGGACCAACGUCAUAUUGAACUCUAUGGAUUAGGAAUGGGAUGUCAUUUAAGUUCAUAUGCGAGUCAAGGCAGGUGAGCGAAUACUUUUGGCAAUAUAGUGUAUAUAUCACUAUGCCAUGUUAUGAAGCAUCUGCUGAGAUUUUAGUGCUCUUGUGUGGGUCAUAAUAUCUGAGCACUGGCUCUUCUUUAAUGAUGUGUUUCAGGUUUUGAAAGCAUGCCUCCUGCUUGUGAGACCACACCCACUCAUUCUUUUGUUCUAGCAGACAUCCGAGUGGAGCAGAACGUGUUGAUAGCUGGGGAAUGAAUUUGGCCAGGUAUGUGACCAUUCCAAGGAAUCUUCUCGCUUCCUCUGUACUUUGUGGCAUGUUGUCUAUUGCUGAUGUUUUUUUUAGGUCUGGCCUAAUGCCUUCUUCAGACCGGACAUCUCCAACGAGAGUUAAGCUCUUAACUGCAAACUCACACUUCUCUUUGUUCAAUUUUCGAUUGGACUGUCCUGUUAGCUCCAGAACCUGCUUCAGUCAUGCAUCAUGUUCCUGCUGGUUGGAACCCCACACAAUUAUGUCAUCCAUCAUAGUCUAUACACCUGGUAGAUGCUCAAAGAUCAUGUGAAUAGUUUUGUGGUAAACUUCUAGUGCUGAGUGAAUGUCAUAAGGGAGACAGAGAAAACAAUAUCUGCCUUCAGGUGUAUUGAAGGUACACAGUUUUUAACUUGCCUCAUCAAGUUUCAUUUGCCAAACCCCAGAUGAUGCAUCCAGCUUGCAGAACCACUUUGAUCCAGUGAACUGAGACAUGAUUUCUUCUCUGGUUGGCAGUUUAAAAUGUUCACGUUUUAUGGCCCUGUUGAGAUCUCUUGGGUCAAGAUAUAUUCUCAAAGCUCCAUUUUUCUUGAGCACAAUAACAAGUGAGCUCACCCAGUCUGUUGGUUCAUCAACUGUCUUUAUAACCUUUAGCUUCUCCAUGUCAGCUAAUUCGUCUUUAAGUUUUCCUCUCAAAGCAAAUGGAACAUUUCUGCAUGCAUGUACAACUGGUGUUAUUGUGUCAUCAACACUUAUUUUAUCCUUCCCAGGCAGACAUCCUAGUCCUUCAAAAACAUCUUCAUACUCCUGCAUGAAUGAGGUUUCAUUUGUUUCAAUCUGUGAUGCCACUACAAACACCUUCCUUUUUUUUUAAAUUUUUAGCACGUGCUCAGUCCUAAAAUUGGCUGGACAUUCUUUUCCACAAUCAGCAUCUGUGACUUUACCUGCUGUCCCUUGUGUUUAAGAGUCACCAAGCAGCUCCCUUUGACAGGGACACUUGGAAAACAGGAAAACUUUCGUUUUCACUGGAUGUAUUUUGAUUUUGAGGGUUUUGUAGUCAGAAUUAGACAAGAGAUUGACUUGUGCUGCAGUAUCUAAUUUGAAGCCAAUUUUUACAUUUACGGUCAGUGGUACAAUCCAUUCAGCUUUGUCUGUUGUGCUAGUCUGUACAGAAUCAACAAAGAAUUUGUCAGGCUGCUCUUCAACUGAGACCAUUAUUAGGAGUCCCACAAACUAUUUUGUCCCUCACAAGUGAGUCUCUUAAAUCUCCAAAUUCACAAGUCUUACUCAGUCGAAAGAAAAACUUGUUCCUAUCAAAAGUGACAUUCUUACUUGGCACAAAGAAUUCCUCAAAGUUUGCCAUUAGAACAGUCAGUUAGAUUUGCGCCAUUGAGUUGAAGCUAUUACAAAUGUCCAGUGCAUCUUCACCUAUUACAUGCAAAAACAUGGAUGCCUUUAGCUUUUCAUCGCCUCUCCCUGCACCGCUAGCUGCUAGAUAGAUGUUGAAUCUUUGCUUGAAACGUUUCCAGUUAUCAGUGUAGGAGCAGCAUAGGUGAUGGUGGAUUUAAGCUCUCCAUGACGGGAAAAAAAACAAGACUGUGAGUCAGGCCUUCUCGUUCAACAUCAGUGCAUGACCUCACAAAAGCACUUCUACAGGAAUGGUCAAAAAUUCCCAUGAACACACUCCUAAACCUUGUGGAAAGCCUUCCCAGAAGAGUUGAAGCUGUUAUAGCUGCAAUGGGCAGGCCAGCUCCAUAUUAAACACUACAGACUAAGAAUGGGAUGUCAUUAAAUUUCAUGGACCUAAAAUUUCGCUAAAUUUUCUCGAUUUUUAUCUUAAAUCCAGUCCAAUAUUAUAACUUUUUAUAGUAUCUUUAUUAGCCGAUAGUAUCCCAUAAUAUUCUCAUUUCAAAUGCUUUUUAUAUCAUUAGUUAUAUUUGUUUUCCAGAACACCCGCUUAUAGCCGGUUAGCCCAUUAGCACGUUAGCCCGGCUACCACAAGUUGGCUUAUGUUUUUCACACCAAUUAUCUCUGUUGUGCUACUGCUCUUAAACACUAUGUCAGUUGUGGGUCUGCCUUUGAGUGCAGGUGAGGAUUUAUUCGAGCUGCACUCUGUGGACUUGGAGCUGGAGGCCAUGCAGAAGCAGAUCCACAACCUAUAAAUGAAGCUAGCCCAGCUGUGAGAUCGGAACGCCGCGCUGGAAUCAUCCCGGAUUGACGCUCACCUGUCCCAGGUAAAUCCGUGGCGUGAAACAAACACUCCCACAACCUCAACUCCGUGUUCUUCUCUGCCCAGGCCCAACGCACCAAGGACGCGGCCCGCCCAGGUUUCCUUCACUCCGGUCCCUGGGUACCACGCAGCCUGGAUGCAGCAGCAGCGGAAGACACGAGCCAAGCCCUGGGCGAGGACCUCUCCCCCUCCCCACCCGUUUUCGAGAUCUCAACCCGCAACCACUUCGCUCCCCUUUGCGAGACGGAGUGCGAUGUGGUGAUCAUCGGAGACUCCACACAUCCGUGCUACUGCGGCUAAAGGUAAGGUGCGCACUCGCUGUUUUCCUGGUACUCGUGUUGUUGACGUCACUGCACAGGUACAGCGAUCCUGAAUAAGAACAUCGGAGCUGUGGUCCUCCAUGCUGGCAUGAACGACAUCAGGCUGAGGCAGACGGAGAUCCUGAAGAAGGACUUCAGGAGCCGAUUCCGACUAAAAAAGCCAUCCCGAGGCAUACAGAGAUUGUGCCAGCUCCAGUGGCAUCCAGAGAUGGACCAGCUCCAGCCGGGUUCUGCUUUGUGAGGAUUCGGGUAUUCAAAGCAACACUGCCAACCUUAUGUGGACGACAACAACCUCCUUAUUAUUUUACAUAACAUUCUACACAUGCUGUAUCUGCAUCACACAAUUGACUAUACAUAAAUGCACAAAGGACAUUGUUCAUAUCACACUCUCUGGUGUUUACAAUAAUUUAUAAUCACACUCUCCACUGUCACCCAAAUGAGGAUGGGUUCCCUUUUGAGUCUGGUUCCUCUCAAGGUUUCUUCCUCAUACCAUCUAAGGGACUUUUUCCUUGCCACAGUCACCUCAGGCUUGCUCACUUGAGAUAACAUCUAGGACUGUUUGCCUGUUUAUAUGUUUGUUGUUUCUUAUGUAAAGCUGCUUUGAUGGAACGCUCUUUGUUAAAAGUGCUAUAAAAAUAAAAUUGAAUUGAUUUGAAUGUGCAUGUAAAGGCAGACGUCCCAAAACUUUUGGCUAUAAAGUCGAUAUUACUAUUUGCACAUACUGAACACUUGUAAAUAAAUUACAGUGUUUUCUCUAAGUCAACCUUUAGGGACAUAAUAAUCACAUUGGACGAAGGCGUAUUUGGAAGGAGAACUGCUGGAUGCAGGAGGAUUUGGCUGUGUGUUUGCUGGACUACGCAAAGAAGACGGAUUGCCAGUUGCAAUCAAGUACGUCUCCAAAAAGAUGCCAUAUGAAAAACUGCAGCUUACAGGAUAUGGAUGGCUGCCCAUUGAGAUAGCUUUGAAGAUCCUUGCAAACACAGAACCUUGCUCAAAAAUCCUGAAGAUUCUGGACUGGCACGAAGAGGCAAAGUGAUAUAUCGUACUCCUGGAACAGCCUGAACCAUGUGUGGACCUCAAGGAACUCUCCGGCAAGCAAGGUGGAUGUUUGACUGAGGUCGAGGCUCGCAAUGUGAUGUUUCAGCUGAUGGAAGCAUUGAAGCAUUGCAAGAGCCAGGGGAUACUGCAUCGUGAUGUCAAGCCAGAAAACAUUCUGAUUCAGACAGACACGUUUCAAGUCAAGCUGUUUGACUUGAAAGAGACCUCGUCAAAGACCCUUACAGUUACUUUGCAGGUGUCUGAUGUCUAAAUCUAAUGUAUCUUUGUUAACACUUGAAUAUGCCCCUCCUGCUCCCCGAAAGUCUGUCUCAAGGCAAGGAACUAUACUCAAUUUAAUACUUUUGAAAAAGUUUGAUUUUCAGAUUAGGAUGUAAAUUCUCCCAACCAGGAGAGGGUGCUAGUUCCAGCCAGCAGCAAGGUGCUAGGGCGAAAUUGUAAAGCAAUGCACGAUUGAUAUGGCUAAAGCAUUUGGAGAAGAGAAAAUAGUCAAGAACUUUUGAGUCUGUAUCUUUGUCCCGCUGAACAGUAACACGUCGAAUUUCUGACUUUCAAUGUCAAAUCUAAGAAAAGCUGAAACUUGCAAUAAACAAUUGCAAAUACUGGCACAGACGUGACAGAUGCCAGUCAGCUCCUGAUCUUUGCAAGAACGAUUACAGAGAACUUUGAUGUUCAAGAGGAGCUGUUAAAGCUUGCUUCAUUACAUGACACCACUUUUUCAGAACUGACACUGAAAAGGGAAAUUAAAAAGUUUUUGGAUUUAGGGUCUCUAGCUUAUAUAAUCAAUGAGAAAAUGAAUCUCAAAUAGCAAGCAUUCUGUUAUUUAGAAAUGAGUUUGUAUUGUGAUUUUCCUUUUGAAUUACCAAAGACCUGAGGAAUUACUGUACAAUGUCUGUUUAAUCAUUGCCUCUCAGUCCUAUGUAGACGUUGUGUUGGAAUGUAAUGUUAAGCUCCAACUCUUCUGCAUUCACGCGUCUCCUGAACAUCUCCCGAUCAGCUACCGGCUCUUUGCGUGUUCGCUCGGCCGAGGUGGAGGGUCAGCGCGCACACAGGAGCAGCAGUGGAGUGAAGUUCUGUGUUGUGUCCGAUCGUCAGUCAAGAGGAGCUGAACAUGCCUUAGAGUUCUUGUACUUGUUGGAUUCUGUAUCACAAGUCAGAGUCUGCUGUUGUGUGGACCACCUGUCUGGCAUUAAACUGACACCAAAACCAGCACAUGUUCACAUGUUCAUAAUUAUACCUGGCUGCUUGAUCUGAAAUUUUUUACAUCACUUAAGUAUGUGGUGGUGUAUUCAUCAAGUGCAAAUGACAGAAAUUUCAAGAAAAUUUUCAUGAUGUACCAAGUUUUUUUUUUUCUUUUUUCUUUUUCCACUCUGUUUCCUUCACCUGUCUGUCUUGUCAUUGAGAACUUUGAAAGGGCUCAAAGUUGAAUGUAAUCCACCAUCUAAUUGUUCAUACUAAU